rnacentral:rRNA from 1 species
UACGGGGGGGGCAAGCGUUGUUCGGAAUUACUGGGCGUAAAGGGCUCGUAGGUGGCCAACUAAGUCAGACGUGAAAUCCCCAGGCUCAACCUGGGAACUGCGUCUGAUACUGGAUGGCUUGAAUCCGGGAGAGGGAUGCAGAAUUCCAGGUGUAGCGGUGAAAUGCGUAGAUAUCUGGAGGAAUACCGGUGGCGAAGGCGGCCUUCUGGACAGUGACUGACGCUGAGACGCGAAAGCGUGGGGAGCAAACAGG